AAAAAAAACUAACAAACAAAUUAUUCCCAAAAUUUCCCCCCAUUUUUCGUCAUCUCCUCUUGCUCACAGUCGCUCAGCUGUCUCUCUGUCUCAGUCGCGCUCAUCUCUCUCUCUCUCAACAGCGUAGGGCAGCAGAGACGAUGGCGUGCAACGGUAGCAUCUCUCUCAGUCACGCAUCUCUCUCAGUCGCUCAUCUCUCUCAGUGGCGUCUUUCUCUUUCUCUCUCGCACACUCACUCAGUCUCAAUCGCCUCUCUCUCACUCACUCAGCGGCGUAAAGCAGCGAGGUGGCGUAGAGCAACUGUGAAUAGCGACGGUGAGUAGGGGCAGUGGCAGCAGCGUCCCACUCCAUCGUCAUCUUUUCCAAGUCCUACUGCCCGUGGUGUUGAUCUGGAGUUUUGGUGCAAUGAGGAGCCAAAGAUUAGUUCAUUCAACAGUGAUUUUGAUCUGCUCCAUAAACAGCCGUAAGUACUCAAUUGGUGUUUUCAAAUCUUUUUGAAUAAUUUACAGCUGUAAGAUUAGCUCAUAAUUGAUUUAGUGCUAUAUAUUUGUCAUAACUGAAAGGGACAUUCUAAUUUUAUAGAAUUUUUGUUGAGUUUAUUUGAAUUUUCAAUAAUAUUAUGCAUGGGUGUUUCAACAAGAAUAGGCCAACGUGGAAGGACCACCGAGUAUUUUGUUUUGCAAGUUGAGGUUGUGGAUAUCUGUUAAGCCUAACCAUUACUUUCUUGCAUGUUGUUAGUAAAUUAUGGCUUUAUGUUCUCCAAGAUUUUCAAGCAUUGAAAAUGUCAGCUAUUUCAUUUUCUCAUGCCUAACGAGAUGAAUGACAACUAUUUGAUUGCUAAAUGAUAAAAUUAGAAGCAAAAUAGAAUUUGAAAUCUCAAGGCAGGUUUUGGAUUAAUUCUAUUCUAUGGUGUUUGAAAUCCAAGUUUUAUUGUAUAAAUUAACUAGAAACAAAGACAGAAAUAGAAGCUCAAUGAACAAAUAGUGAAUAGGUGUUGAUUUUUUGUACUCUGUCUAGCUUUGCUCAACAGCCUCAACUUUAGUCUAUUAUCAAAUUUUGUUAGUUUGUAUGUGUUUUCAUUUCUUCAUAGUUAUGCUCAGUUUUUAAGAGGAAUAGAUGUUGAUUGAAGUCAAUUUGCAUGUUUCAUUUUUUGUAAUCAAAUGUGGUCAUAGAAUUUUUAAGAGGAAUAGGUGUUGAUUGAUCCAAGUACGCAGAAUUUUACCUGGAAUGAUUUAUAUUUUUUAAACUACAACCAAUGUGUCUUUAGUUUUCACGUCAUAGAAUCCAAACCAACCAUCAAUUUGACAUUCCAAACAGUGAAUAUUUGUGCCUAGUCAACAGGUUUAAGCUUAAAGUAGUAAUGUUUCUUUAUCUUUUUCUUUGAUUUUUAUUAUCCUUGUGUAGGUUUCGUUGCUAGAGCACUACUACUGUUGGAGGGCUAGAUUUCUAGAUUUAGCAUAGUUCAAUGGAGGAUUAAGGAAUUAUUAGAUUAUUAUAUUUAACAUAAUUAAAUGGAGGUUUUAUAAAUUAUUAGAAAUACUGCAAAUUGGGUUUUUCUUGCCUAAUUGAAUAAUAUUCACCUCUUUCCUGAAUAAUCAAUGGGGUUUUACCUUACUAAUGAACAUGCUCAUGUGACAUAUCAUGCUACGCUGCAGUAUGUCAAGCGCUUUAGCCGCUACAAGAAUCCAGAUUUUGUCAGACAAGCUCGAGAAGACAGAUGAUAGUUCAACAUAUUAUGACAGUCAGAAUUUGCAUAGUGGAGAUGUUGUAAAUUGGCAUUGAUUUUUGUACAUUAUUGGAAGAUUCAAGAUUUGAUAUGGACAUGUUUGGUGAUUUGGAGAGCAGAAACUACCUCAUUUUGUGUUUUUGUUCAUAUUACCUUACAUGUAUUUUGGUUGCGUUGUAAAUUUUAUAUUUUUGUUGGUAUUGCAGGACAUGUUUGGUAAUCCACACUUGAUAUUAUAUUUUUGUUGAUAUUA